CCUACGGGAGGCAGCAGUGGGGAAUAUUGCACAAUGGGGGAAACCCUGAUGCAGCGACGCCGCGUGAGUGAAGAAGUAUUUCGGUAUGUAAAGCUCUAUCAGCAGGGAAGAAGAAAGACGGUACCUGACUAAGAAGCCCCGGCUAACUACGUGCCAGCAGCCGCGGUAAUACGUAGGGGGCAAGCGUUAUCCGGAUUUACUGGGUGUAACGGGAGCGUAGACGGCUGUGCAAGUCUGAAGUGAAAGCCCAGGGCUCAACCCUGGGACUGCUUUGGAAACUGUGGAGCUAGAGUGCUGGAGAGGUAAGUGGAAUGCCUAGUGUAGCGGUGAAAUGCGUAGAUAGUAGGAGGAACACCAGUGGCGAAGGCGGCUUACUGGACAGUAACUGACGUUGAGGCUCGAAAGCGUGGGGAGCAAACAGGAUUAGAUACCCGAGUAGUC
rnacentral:rRNA from 1 species